GAUGAAGAACGUAGCGAAAUGCGAUAAGUAAUGUGAAUUGCAGAAUUCAGUGAAUCAUCGAAUCUUUGAACGCACAUUGCGCCCGCCAGUAUUCUGGCGGGCAUGCCUGUUCGAGCGUCAUUUCAACCAUCAAGCCCCAGGCUUGUGUUGGGGACCUGCGGCUGCCGCAGGCCCUGAAAACCAGUGGCGGGCUCGCUGUCACACCGGGCGUAGUAGAUUUUAUCUCGCUCAGGGCGUGCUGCGGGUUCCGGCCGUUAAAAAGCCUUUUUUACCCAAGGUUGACCUCGGAUCAGGUAGGAAGACCCGCUGAACUUAAGCAUAUCAAUAAGCGGCGGA
rnacentral:misc_RNA from 1 species